GAACGGGUGAGUAACACGUGGGUGAUCUGCCCUGCACUUUGGGAUAAGCCUGGGAAACUGGGUCUAAUACCGAAUAUGACCAUGCGCCUCCUGGUGUGUGGUGGAGAGCUUUUGCGGUGUGGGAUGGGCCCGCGGCCUAUCAGCUUGUUGGUGGGGUAAUGGCCUACCAAGGCGACGACGGGUAGCCGGCCUGAGAGGGUGACCGGCCACACUGGGACUGAGAUACGGCCCAGACUCCUACGGGAGGCAGCAGUGGGGAAUAUUGCACAAUGGGCGCAAGCCUGAUGCAGCGACGCCGCGUGAGGGAUGACGGCCUUCGGGUUGUAAACCUCUUUCAGCACAGACGAAGCGCAAGUGACGGUAUGUGCAGAAGAAGGACCGGCCAACUACGUGCCAGCAGCCGCGGUAAUACGUAGGGUCCGAGCGUUGUCCGGAAUUACUGGGCGUAAAGAGCUCGUAGGUGGUUUGUCGCGUUGUUCGUGAAAACUCACAGCUUAACUGUGGGCGUGCGGGCGAUACGGGCAGACUUGAGUACUGCAGGGGAGACUGGAAUUCCUGGUGUAGCGGUGGAAUGCGCAGAUAUCAGGAGGAACACCGGUGGCGAAGGCGGGUCUCUGGGCAGUAACUGACGCUGAGGAGCGAAAGCGUGGGGAGCGAACAGGAUUAGAUACCCUGGUAGUCCACGCCGUANACGGUGGGUACUAGGUGUGGGUUUCCUUCCUUGGGAUCCGUGCCGUAG
rnacentral:rRNA from 1 species